UGCCACGGCCCUCAAACAUGAGGGGCCAUCCUUUAGAAACCCUCUCUAGUUGUUUAGACAACUAGGCCACCGGCCUCAGCCAGGGCCCCAGAGUUUCGGUUAAAAGUCCAGCUGCCAUCUUUUCUCUAUCUGACGCAUUCAAUGGAAAAGGCUUUGUCAGAUCGGGUAGCCCCAGGGCUGGGGCUGCCAGAAGUUUUUCCUUUAACUCCUGAAAGACUUUUUGUUCUUGGGAUCCCCAUUCCAAAGGUUCCGUUCCCCGCCCCCUUUGUGACCUCAUACAAAGGCUUGGCUAAUACUGCAAAGUUUGGGAUCCAGUCUACAAAACCCCACAGCUCCCAAGAAUUCCCUUACCUGCCUUCUGCCCUUAGGCUCCGGUAGAUUGUAAAUAACCUGCUUUCUUUCUGUUCCCGGGCUGCGUUCGGACCCCUGUCGGAUAGUAAAUCCCAAGCAAGGUACCUGCCGUCAGCAGAUUUGAGCUUUCUUCUUGGACACCUAAUACCCACAGUCCUCCAGGCUCCGGUAGAUUGCAAAUGACCUGCUUUCUUUCUGUUCCCGGGCUGCGUUCGGACCCCUGUCGGAUAGUAACUCCCAAGUAAGGUACCUGCCGUCGGCAGAUUGGAGCUUUCUUCUUGGAGACCUAAUACCCACAGUCCUCCAGGCUCCGGUAGAUUGCAAAUGACCUGCUUUCUUUCUGUUCCCGGGCUGCGUUCGGACCCCUGUCGGAGAGUAAAUCCGAAGUGCCACCAUCCAAGUGAGGAUUUCACUGUUCACAGGCAUUUGAGACACACCAGCGGCCGGCGGUUCUCACUGCUCUUCAUAUGGAGGCAACCAUAUAUGGGUAAGUCAUUUAGUCUCUUAGGUAGGCGAACUGAGGCCAAUCUCCCCACUUUUAGGGCUGUGAAACUGUUCUGUAUGAUACAAUAAUGGUGGAUAUGCGUCACUAUACAUUCGUCCAAAUCCACAGAAUGUACAACACCAAGAGUGAACCCUACUGUAAACUAUGGACUCUGAGUGACAAUGAUGCAUCAAAUAGGUUCAUCAGUUGUAAUAAAUGCACUGCUCUGGUGC
rnacentral:lncRNA from 1 species